ACAUUCCUGGAGCCAGGAGGCCAUGGACAACAGAGGGGAGAAAGGACGUGAGGAAAAGACAAGCCAGAGGUGAUGCAAACCACCACCACCCACUGGGAUGACCUCCCAUCUGCACGAACAGAGGAGCCUCAUUACUCAGUGGUUCUGUUAAUUCCCCUCCAGCCUUCUUCCUGAGGCUUCCCAUUAAGGCAAGCAGGUGAAUGAAGCAGCACAUCCUGUUCUUGGCAAAAUAAUAGUGGGUGAAAAUCUAGUGCUUUUCCUCUCUGGCACCCUUGGCAACCCACUUUCAAUGUUGCUGGUUUGCUUUGACGACCUAAUGGUCAUUAUCCAAGUCUUGCAUUUGGGUGGGGGACUGACUAUGGGACAGGGACAGGCUGUCCAGUGUUCUCACAGGGGGCUCCAGGAGAGGGCGGCCAUUAGCAUCCUGGCUUCUCCAGGGUCUGCCAUUUCCCACCUCUCCAGCCCUGAAACAUCUCAGCUUCCCGAGAAGCAGAGCAUCAGUGACGAUGCUCUGGCCCAGGAGAGAGUGCCUGCUUCCCAGCAAGAGGGUCUCACCCUAUGCCAGGUGCUGCGAGGAUGUCAUCUCCGAGAAUGUGCUCUGAGGGGCUCAGAUGUGGUCAAGAAACCCAACUCAUGGGAGAAUCGCUGAAGAGAAGGGCGGCCCUGGCUACAAAGGAAAGCACUGGGGAAUCCAUCCAUCCAUCCAUCCAUCCAUCCAUCCAUCCAUCCAUCCAUCCACCCACCCACCCACUCAUUCUAGGUGCUGGGAAUAUGUGUGGCGGUGGCCAUGAAGUUCCUGAAGUCUCAUGGAGCACAUGUUGUGGGGAAGUGGGGAGUGGGGCAGCCAUUAGGCUGACACAGAGUGUAUGAUGUUGAGGGUAGCAGCCCCACAAGCAGAGGUGAGGCAGGCAGAUUUGCUGUGGCAUGAAUAGAAACAUAGGAGCAGACUUAAAUGGGUGGAGGAAGGAGCGGAGUUGCUGUCCCAGGCACACAGGCACAAGGAAAGGCCAGGGACAGAUCUGGAGGGGUCAGUACUUGAGAAAGGGCAAGAUGGAAAGGUGGCUAGAGCAGGAUGGAGGGGACAGGGAGAGUGAAAAGGGGGCUCUCAAGGGAGCUGGGAGCCUCUAAAGUGUUUUCAAAGAAAAGCAACAUACACUGACAUUUUCAAAGGCUCGACCAGCUGGGUGUCCUUGGAUAUGCAACAGCCCAGGCCUGCCAUGGGCUUCUAGCCAGCAAGGUGCUGCCUUUUUCUACAGGAUGGCAGGGGAGGGGGAAUGGCCAUUGUCACUCCUAACUCAUCCUCAGGCCUCUUUCAGCGGCUUCCUGGGACUCUCCCACAGCUCCUUGGGCAGGUCUCUCUUGCAGAGAGGGCCUCUUUGUCCUGUACAUGUCUGCCUACAGGCCUGACUCCAAGAUUACUGUCAUUUCCCCACAAUCCUAGCUUAGCGUCAGGCCAGGCCAGCAGGGGUUCCACAAGCACCGCUGGUGAAUGUCACGUGGCGGCUUUGGGCAGCUCCAGUCCUGUGGAGUUUAGCCAUUGGGCACAAGAUGAAACCAAGUGCUGGGAUAAGAGGACAGACUGCUGUGAGCUCUGGGCUCACUGCUGUGCCAGGGAUGCUUGCCGGGGGGUGGGGGGUUGUCUCACAGCCCUGGCUGCUCAGGGCCCAGGCUCUCUUGCAGGUGGGAAUGAACAGCCCGAGGGAGGCUCUCCCUUCCCAGGCAGGCCUGGGAGGCCCACUGUGCUCACAGGGGGAAAAUGAUGGCCUUGCCCCCUGUUGUGCUGAUGGGGACAAUGACUCUACACGCUGCAGCUGCUGAGUGACAAAGGCAUUUCCAUGCCCAAGAUUUCGGAACAAGGCUGCUGUUUGACACAGAUGAGAGAUUCAUUCUUUUAUAUUCUUUCUGCAGGUUUUACCAAGAACAAGGUAAAAUACGCUCAAUAACAGGAGAACAGUUAAUAUUAACCAUUACGAUGAAAUAUGACCUAACUACUUAAAGUCAUGUGUUUGAAGGAUAACAGCAUGGAACGCUCUCAAAUUUUAAGGGAAAAUGUGGGAUUCGAGACAGUGAACGUAGCAAGAUCAUCAUUUCAUUUGAACAGACAGAAGACUGGAAGAUGGUGACGAUACCUCACUGAUAAGAGUGGCUACUGCUGGGUGGGGGCAUUACUGAUUUUCACUUUCUCACCGUGGUGAAUGUGGGGGACUUUUGCAAUGCCAACAAGCAGGAUGUGCUCUAAUGACGUGGAGACAAAGCAGACUUCUUCAGGGAAGACAGAGCAGAUGUACCUUUCCUAUUCCUCUUACUAAGUACAGUGAAGAGCCCUGGAAAUUAUGUAUUAAACAAUACUAGAAGACUCUGAAAAGUGGAGAAGAAGUGGCAGACCAGCUGGGGAUCUUGGGACUUGAGGAAUGACAUAAUGGUGGGUUCCCUGGAGUUUCUUUUUGUCUUACGUAUUCCAGACUAGAUACUCGGGAACCUAGAAACACCAACGAGAGCAG